rnacentral:rRNA from 1 species
GACGAACGCUGGCGGCGUGCCUAAUACAUGCAAGUAGAACGCAGUUGCGAACGGGUGAGUAACGCGUAGGUAACUUCCUGGUAGCGGGGGAUAACUAUUGGAAACGAUAGCUAAUACCGCAUACUACCAGAUGGACCUGCGUUGUAUUAGCUAGUUGGUGGGGGCACGGCCCAACAAGGCAACGAUACAUAGCCGACCUGAGAGGGUGAUCGGCCACAAGGGGACUGGGGCACGGCCCAGACGCCUACGGGAGGCAGCAGUAGGGAAACUUCGGAAAUUGGCGGAAGGCUGACCGAGCAACGCCGCGGGAGUGAAGAAGGUUUUCGGAUCGUAAAGCUCUGUUGUAAGGGAAGCGGUAUCUUACCAGAAAGGGACGGCUAACUACGUGCCAUCAGCCGCGGUAAUAC